GACAAUGUGGUGUAGUGGUCUGAGCUUUGGACCAUGACUUUGGAGACCAGGGUUUGAAUCCCUGCUUGGCCA